rnacentral:tRNA from 1 species
AAGUAAGAAGCGAACCAUCGCAACCAGCUUCGACCUGGCCAAUUAGGUAAAAUUACCUCUACUUU